CGUAGGGUGCGAGCGUUAAUCGGAAUUACUGGGCGUAAAGCGUGCGCAGGCGGUUUUGUAAGACGGAUGUGAAAUCCCCGGGCUCAACCUGGGACCUGCAUUUGUGACUGCAAGGCUAGAGUACGGUAGAGGGGGAUGGAAUUCCGCGUGUAGCAGUGAAAUGCGUAGAUAUGCGGAGGAACACCGAUGGCGAAGGCAAUCCCCUGGACCUGUACUGACGCUCAUGCACGAAAGCGUGGGGAGCAAACAGGAUUAGAUACCCUGGUAGUCCACGCCCUAAACGAUGUCAACUGGUUGUUGGGUCUUUACUGACUCAGUAACGAAGCUAACGCGUGAAGUUGACCGCCUGGGGAGUACGGCCGCAAGGUUG
rnacentral:rRNA from 1 species